AGUGAACGCUGGCGGUAGGCCUAACACAUGCAAGUCGAACGGCAGCACAGUAAGAGCUUGCUCUUACGGGUGGCGAGUGGCGGACGGGUGAGGAAUACAUCGGAAUCUACUUUUUCGUGGGGGAUAACGUAGGGAAACUUACGCUAAUACCGCAUACGACCUACGGGUGAAAGCAGGGGAUCUUCGGACCUUGCGCGAUUGAAUGAGCCGAUGUCGGAUUAGCUGGUUGGCGGGGUAAAGGCCCACCAAGGCGACGAUCCGUAGCUGGUCUGAGAGGAUGAUCAGCCACACUGGAACUGAGACACGGUCCAGACUCCUACGGGAGGCAGCAGUGGGGAAUAUUGGACAAUGGGCGCAAGCCUGAUCCAGCCAUACCGCGUGGGUGAAGAAGGCCUUCGGGUUGUAAAGCCCUUUUGUUGGGAAAGAAAAGCAGCAGGUUAAUACCCCGCUGUUCUGACGGUACCAAAGAAUAAGCACCGGCUAACUUCGUG
rnacentral:rRNA from 1 species